rnacentral:rRNA from 1 species
GACGAACGCUGGCGGCGUGCCUAAUACAUGCAAGUCGAGCGAUGAUUAAAGAUAGCUUGCUAUUUUUAUGAAGAGCGGCGAACGGGUGAGUAACGCGUGGGAAAUCUGCCGAGUAGCGGGGGACAGCGUUUGGAAACGAACGCUAAUACCGCAUAACAAUGAGAAUCGCAUGAUUCUUAUUUGAAAGAAGCAAUUGCUUCACUACUUGAUGAUCCCGCGUUGUAUUAGCUAGUUGGUAGUGUAAAGGACUACCAAGGCGAUGAUACAUAGCCGACCUGAGAGGGUGAUCGGCCACACUGGGACUGAGACACGGCCCAGACUCCUACGGGAGGCAGCAGUAUGGAAUCUUCGGCAAUGGGGGCAACCCUGACCGAGCAACGCCGCGUGAGUGAAGAAGGUUUUCGGAUCGUAAAACUCUGUUGUUAGAGAAGAACGUUAAGUAGAGUGGAAAAUUACUUAAGUGACGGUAUCUAACCAGAAAGGGACGGCUAACUACGUGCCAGCAGCCGCAGUAAUAC